CAAAGAACUUUCUCUUUCAUUCCUUGCUGGAACUAUUAAUGGAUUUCAUAUUUAAGGCUGAGUGGUCUUACAACUUGGCACUCAACAUCAGCAAGACCAAGGAUUUGAUUCAGAAAGGGGAAGUUGAGGGCUGAUCGGUGGAAAGAAUGAGCUGCUUCAACUCCCUGCGUAUCCACAUUUCAGAAGGUCUAUCCUGAGGCCAAGAUACUGAUGCAAUCACAAAGAAGGUACCAGUUAUUCAUACACAAAAUGCUGGAGGAACUCAGCAAGUCAGGGAGCAUCUUUGGAAAUCAAAAAACAGUCAAUGUUUGGGAUCCUUCUUCAGUGCUGAACAGGGGAAGAUAAAAAGUGGUUCCUCGAGGCUUUCACUGCAGUUUAAUGUUGAAGACAAUGGGGAACCAUAGAAGCUUACGCAGAUGGUACAGGAGGUGUCUGGCUAGUACCACAGCUCUGAGGGGCCGAAGGAGCGGGAGCAGCCUCCUCCUUCCGGAGAAUCGCAAGAUCGCUAUUAAUUCGGGUCUCGGAAGUGAGAGACAAUGCAACGGUUCUGGCCAUUGUUCUUAGAGGCACCUGUGUGUCCCUACUACGUGACAGCUACCAUGGACAUGGACACCCUCGGGCAAUGUGGGGGUGGAGAUUGCAUCACCCUACUUGGAUGGACAUCUACAACUCUGCAAGUAAAGAUAAAAGCGGACUGCAGGAGGCAGUACCCUAGCGAUGCACCAGAAGAACUUGCUCGCUCAACGCUCCCGGGAGAGCUGGAAGCCACUCAACGCCACGUGUGUUCCUAACUCCUUUGCCUGGGGAGCGGGUGGCUGAUACUACCGAGAAGGACUUCGAACUAACAACAGGGAAACCAACGCUCCCCUGAUUUUUAACAGAGUGGCUUCAUAAAGACACAGGCAAGUUUUCUUUUCGUUUUCACCAAUCCCUCUAAAACACGUGAAACCCAACGAUUCCUCGAAAGGCUAAAGUCUGCAGACUUCUGAAUGACUUUUUAUAUUUCCAAUGGACAAAAAUAUUAUCCCCUAGACAACAGCCGAGAUUACUUCUUAAUGAUGAUUAUGACUAUACCCACGCUUUAGAUUGAGUAUUGGUGAUGUGCAUUAUCUGAAUGUUUGCGUUAACCUUACUUUUGUGCCCCUUUAUAAAUAAAAACGUUUGAAAAUAGUGACAUCAGACUUCAACGGACCUCUCUAUCUUUGCUGGUAAGUUCUCCAGUUACAGGAUACGUAACACCCCACAACCCUUAAUUCCUCUACUAUGCAAAAAUCUACCCAACCUUGUCUUAAAUAUAUCUGCUGAGUCAGCCUCCACUGCUUCAUUCCACAGAUUCACCACUCCUUGGGAAAAGCAGUUCCUCCUAAUCUCCAUCCUAAAUUUACUCCCCCAAAUCCUGAGGCUAUGACCCCUUAUCCUCAUCCCUAGAAUCACACCAUAAAUCAAUUCUGCAUCUUAUCCAAGUUCUUCAUAAGUACAGUGGCCAGAAUUGGCAGUCCUCCAGUUAUGGUCAAACCAGUGAUUUAUUACUUGCCUGUUCUUUUAUCAGGUGUUGCUUUGGGAUCUUUUGCAUCCACGGUUCAGUGUCCCAUCCAAAGGUAGGUGUCUGAAAAGGUGUGGCAUUCCAUCAGUCGAGGGAUGCCAGUCUGGAGUGGGACUUGAAACCAUCAGCCUUGUAACUCAGAGGUAGUACUGAGCCAUGGCUGAAGAGCCUCAGCUUCAGUGGAGUGAGGGGAAAGGAGGCUAGGCGAGGUUAGAGAAAGCCUCAGCAGAUUAACUGGAGGGUUAACACACCGAGGCAGGAGUGCUCACUCAUUGGCAACCAGGUUUCCUCAGGCAUUGGACUCCUGCCCGUCCAUCACCCUCAGAACAAGGUCAAAGCCAGCAACUCCACCAGCCCCUCUGCAAUCCACA